UUAUCGACAGCUGAUAUUUAAUAACACUUUUGCUUUGACAAUGCUCAACGGAAUAAAACAGAAACCAAGAACCGUAUACGGUUCAAGCUCAUUUAGCCUUUUCUCCCUCUCAUUUUCUCUUCUCAUGCCUCAGAUACUGUGCUAAAUACUUUAUUUAGCAUUUCAUUAUUCAUAAGCGCUUUCUCGCCGAUGCAGGUAACCAUCUGCUGUGGCAGAUUAAAGCUACGAAACCCGUCAUUAUCCAGCCGCGGGCACGACACGUUCAUUUCUAUGUGUUUCAGACUGUGGACACUCAGAGAUAUUCCAUCUCCCCCCCACCCCGACAUAUCAACCUGGAAGAGCAUUAAAGCCUAACCAUGUGAAUACCACCUAUUCACGGCGAACUCAUUGUUCACGGCAAGCCCUCAGCUGAAGUACACGCCGCUGCGGAUGUAUGCGAGCUUCGUCUAAAUGUCAGAAAGGCAGAAGCGAUCGGAGGAGGGAAACUUGAUGUCAUUAGCAACCCAUCAAAGAGACAAAGUGUCACUGUUUUCAAGACAUCAACAAUAAAUCAAGCCAGAAAGAUGCUUGAGAAGGUUUAUUGUUGUGAUACCAUCAUGCCGCUGAAGGAUUCAACCAUGUGUUGUGUCAUUCUGGGAGUUCCUGUGUUUGCAACACAGAUUAAGUGAUUAAUCGUUGGAUCAGAUCUGUGGGAGGAGGACUAUAGGAUCGCCGUCCUCAAAGGUUCAGGGAUCCGUCUCAGCGCAAACAUUGGGAUUUGACGGUAGCCGAGCAUUAAACCCCGAGCAGAUGGUGGAGAAUGUUCAGUUAAGACACAGCGACUGAUCCGGGGAAACAGAUACUCUCUCGUUAGGUUGAAAGCACCUCUGGGACGGCAGUCAAGUGCCGGACUAACCUCUGGUGCCAAAAAACAAAUGGAGGCAAAUAAUCAACACUCUGUUCCGCUGGGGAAAGCUGAGACUCAACCCCCAUGAUGCCCCCAUGAUGGGGGCAUGGCUGCGGGAGAAAAUUACCCCUCUCAGCAAGAGAGAGAGGGAGAUCCGGGUGUGGGGGGGUGAUCUAUAAAUCUGGAGAAAGGUGUUUCACAUCUUAUUAUUAAGGUAGUGUAAUUUAUAAAAAAAAUUAUGUAACACACUUCAAUAGCUAAAGGUACAAAAUGCAAUAAGAUUGGAAAAGCAAUGUUUUAUUUUUAACACUAAGAAAGUAAAAUAUAGGCACGUUGUGUGAGUAAUUGUUCAACAUUUUUGUAUGUUUUCACAUCGAAUUGAAUAAACAAAACACUGCAAUAAACAAAAGGUUUAUCAAAUAAUUACCACAAAAAAAGUUUCUAUGUGUCUACAAUAGAUUACGUUGCUCUGAAAUAACAAUAGUCAUGCCUGACAAUAAUUUAUUUUAAA